rnacentral:tRNA from 1 species
GGAUUGCAAACCCAAAAACGCCCCAAUCCGG